AAACCCGGGAGGGUUGUGAAUCUUAUCCGUGGGGCAGCCCGCGCCUUGGGGACUUCCUGGGAGCUCCAGGGACUGGGGUCCGAGGCAGAAGCAGCCGCUUUUGGUCCCCCACAGCGCAUCACUGUGGGUGAUGGUGAACGGUAUCUUCAUGUCCCAAUGUGGGGUGACAGAAAAAGCCUGACUUAGGAAUCAAAAGUCUGAGGCUCCAGUUACAGCUCUAUUCCUGAUGUUCUGGGUGAUCUCAGGCAAAUGAUUUACCCUCUCUGGGAACACAAGUUCUUCAUCUGUAAAACAAGCUUAGACUGGAUCUCUGCUGCCCCUUCCAACUGGAACAUCUGUGCCUCAAAUAUUCCGUGUACCCAACGGAUGUCUAAGGAGAGGCCCGUGGGCCAGGCAGAGACUUCAAACAACUCUUUCAUGAAUUCCAAUGCUGAGAAUACCAUGUAAGACCACGGGAAUCAGAUCAAUGCCAAGUUUUAUUGAAAAAUGGGGAAGAGGGAUAAAAAGAGAACAAGAAGAGGCCCCCAUUUCCAAUUCAGAUACACUCA